rnacentral:rRNA from 1 species
UAGGGAAUCUUCCGCAAUGGACGCAAGUCUGACGGAGCAACGCCGCGUGAGUGAAGAAGGAUUUCGGUUCGUAAAACUCUGUUGUUAGAGAAGAACAGCGCAUAGAGUAACUGUUAUGCGUGUGACGGUAUCUAACCAGAAAGCCACGGCUAACUACGUGCCAGCAGCCGCGGUAAUACGUAGGUGGCAAGCGUUGUCCGGAUUUAUUGGGCGGAAAGCGAGCGCAGGCGGUCAAUUAAGUCUGAUGUGAAAGCCCCCGGCUCAACCGGGGAGGGUCAUUGGAAACUGGUUGACUUGAGUGCAGAAGAGGAGAGUGGAAUUCCAUGUGUAGCGGUGAAAUGCGUAGAUAUAUGGAGGAACACCAGUGGCGAAGGCGACUCUCUGGUCUGUAACUGACGCUGAGGCUCGAAAGCGUGGGUAGCAAACAGG